CCUCUCCUCUCUCCCUCUCUCUCUCUCUCUCUUUCUCCAGCAUGCUCCCUCUGCUCUGCUCUGCUCUGUCUUGUUUACCCAGCAGGUGGAUGUGACGUCAGGGACUCACCACAGCAAAAAAUAACAACAGCUCAAUCCGCCGGUCCAGCGUGGGCACCACUUGCAAAGUGGAAGAAGAAGGGGGAGCGAGAAAAUAGUGCCUGAGCCCAGAGAGAGAGGAGAGCCAUGAGGAGAGAUUAAACAGAAAAAAAAAAUUAGACUGCACGCGGGAGGGAGAGGAAUAAAAAAAAAGAGAGGAGGGAGGCAACAAUAAACAAACAAGGCAGAUUGAGAGAGGAGAGCAUUGUGCUGGCUGCGCCCUGGAGAGCUGCAGAGAGUCCGGGAGAGACAGGAGUGAGCUCCACAGCGGAGGAAUCUAUUGUUAUUUAUUGUGUGGCUGUUGCAUGCUGUACUUGCUGCCCGGGAUCUCAUGUGCAUUUAAAAGGAUAAAGCAAUAACAACUUCACCCAACACGCCCUCCACACUCAACUGCCGGGGGUCUGCUGCUGCUGCGGGCUUUGGUAGCAAGCGAUGAAGGUGGAAAAAUAAUCCAGCAUUUGGGUUUAGAAAUCAAGUCAACCGGACUUUUGCCAGAUGUUGCAAGGUGCUUAAAAGUUGCAAAGUUCUGUUGCUGAUGUCUUUUUUUGCUUGCCUGCAGUAGGGGGCGCACUUUUCUACCAAAUGCAAGGAUGAUGAUAAUGAUGUCACAAGUAAUUUUUGGCUGCGGAGAGCUCUAGCACCUCUGAUGAAUAGACGUUGGGUAAUGUGGUGUAGGAGUUGUUCGGAGUUAAGGUCGCCAGCUGUGUAACACUGACACAGAUUGUUUUUUAAGGAGAACCGGGUUUGAAUCCCGCUGUCUACUCCCUGCCACCCUGGGUGUGUCACUUUCACUCUGUAUUCCAGAUACUGAAAACUUCUUUGUACAUUGGAUGAAAAUGUAACACUUCCUAUUAAAAACAGUAUAUAUGUUUAAUGUAUAUGAUAUUACAAAUCACCCACCAUGUAAACUUAUGUUCUGUGUCUCAGUUGUUUUAGUACCAGCAGUUUGAAUUCUGUGCCGGAGAAACAGAGCUGAGAUGUUCGCGAUAU